rnacentral:lncRNA from 1 species
UGAGUAUAUCACCACUAUCUAUAAAAAACCCACAUAUCUACCAAUCAUUAUACCAGCCUGGUCUAAUGAUUAUAUGCCGUAUAAACUCACAGCCUUUAGAGCUAUGUUCAUGAGAAUACACACCAAUAUAACCAAGUGGCAGGACAAAUAUGAGGAACUCAUAUAUGUAUAUAACAUAGGCCGUAAGUAUGGUUUCAAUAGAAAGAUUAUGGAAGGUAUUUGGAAUAAAAUGCAGAAUCACAUAGAAAUGCCCCACAGACCAAACCCUUCGACCCAACAAAACCAAUAAACAGCUAUGUUCUCAACUGUUACAUAGUAUAAAACCAUGGAUAAGAUCCUCAGCAAACAUAUGAGAGGAAAGGCAAGAAAAAUCCUUAGAAGAAGAGCCCCCACGAUAUUUGACACUA